AGCAGAUUCUACCAUUUAUUACACAUACUGUAUUACAUUCUUAAAUAAAAAUGCUCCACUGAACAGUUCUUGCAUAGAUAUCUUACAAUACCAAUUUAAAAAAGAAUUAUGAAACAGACCAGUAACAAAAAUAAAGUUUUCUUCUUCCUUAAUAAAGAACAUUACCAUACUAACAUCAUAUAAUACAAAUAAUAAUAUUUUUCAACACUUUGUACAGCAAAAAUAAAAACAAGGAGAAAAAGAACCCAAGAGAAAACUGAAAAGGAAAUGACCAUGACAAUGACAGGAGGAAGGGAGGCAGGGAAGGAGGAGGUGUGAGAAGGGAGGGAAGGAGCAGGGGUGAGGAGGGAGGGAGGGAAGGAGGAGGGGUAGGGAGGGAGGGAAGGAGGAGGGAGGGAGGGAAGGAGGAGGGGUAGGGAGGGAGGGAAGGAGGAGGGAGGGAAGGAGGAGGGGUAGGGAGGGAGGGAAGGAGGAGGAGUGAGGGAGGGAGAGAAGGAGGAGGAGGGGUGAGGGAGGGAGGAGAGGUGAGGGAGGGAAGAAGGAGGGGUGAGGAGGGAGGAGAGGUGAGGGAGGGAAGGAGCAGGGGUGAGGAGGGAGGGAAGGAGGAGGGGGGUGAGGAGGGAGGAAGGGAGCAGGGGGUGAGGAGGGAGGGAAGGAGGAGGGGUGAGGGAGGGAGGGAGGCAGGAGGGGUGAGGAGGGAGGGAAGGAAGGAGCAGGGAUAAGGAGGGAGGAAGGGAGGGCGGGAGGGAUGGAGGGAAGGAAGGAGGAAGGGAAGGCGUGAGGGAGGGGUGGAAGAGCAGAGGGUGAGGGGUCAGGGUCUGGUAGGAAGGAGAGGUGAUGGUGUUGUUGGCAUUAUAGAGCCCCUGCAGAAGGAGUAAAUGACAGAGGUGACAAUGGAAAAGGUGUUCCCACUGUGUCACUGGGCUUCCACAGAUGUACCAGGUGUAGAGGCUGGACUGGGACUAGACUACCUUGUGGAGGCUCAGUCGUACUGUAGACGGUCUGAGAAAAGCACUGGUGGGUUUAGUUCUGCUCUACAGGCUGAGGUGUGUUGUUGGCUGGGUGGGUGCCCCAAUAGAAAUAGAAUUAAAUUGGAAUUUGAGUAAUUCUAUUUCUAUGUGUGGCCCCUUGACUGAGGAUAGUUAUUACAGCUACACAUCCUGGUUCUGUCUGUCUGGCCAUGAGACUCUCCACUUAGCAGAGGGUAAAUAGAAUAUAAAGUCAAGUACUCUAACUCACCUCCUGAACUUGACACAUGUCCAACACCUCAUGAAGACAAAGCCAUAGAGAUGAAUCAACAUUUAUCAAGAUGUAUCUUCCGCUAACAGCACAUGUCAGAGUGUGAUGCCUGGGCCCCAGAGUUGGAUGGAUAAGGAUUGGGGGACAAAGGGAAAGAAGGGGUGAGGUGGAGGGAUACAGAGACAGGGGGGAAGAGUUUUGUCAAUCCCUUAUAUACUGACACAUCAAAUAUGGACAAACACAGCAGAUACAGACACACUCCCUGAUGCAGAUGUACAACAAAAAGAACCAUGAGUUUCAACAUCCCAAACAGUACCAAAUUAGUCACCUGUUACAUGGCAAUGAACAGAACCCCUUCAACCGUCAAAACAACUGUCCAACAUUAUCUUACCAUGCCCAGUUGCCAUUGGCUGUUUAAUGACAGUAGAGGGCCUAUAUCAAGCUAAUAACCUAUUAGUGUGAUUGGCUAAAAACUAAAAAGGACCUACCUUAUUGGUUCUUGUGGUUAAGUGCAUCAGGAAGUGUCACAACAUGUUAUGUGGAUAUUUGACAUUUGAGUGCUCCAACAGACUAUGCUAGCAUUAAGUAAGUAGGUACACUAUGGAGUGUGCGCAGUAAGUUCAUGUAGUGAAAUGGUAUGCUUGAGAAGAUAGAACAACAGGAACAUUAAAAGAGUGUGUGAGAUGUAUGUAGGAGUCGAAAUGCUGAAGCACUGUUGCCUAGUAGUGCACAAUACCCUUUAAGUUCCACCUAAAGUGUUGUGGUUAAAAUGGGUCUACAGUAGGUCUAACGACUAAUGUCUAAUGUCUAUGGACAUUCCAGUGGCCUACAGAACUGUUAUCAGACCCACUGUAAACCAGUCACUACCCAUACGAGCUCAUUGAGUUGAAGAGCUACUAAUGUAUCUAUCUACAAAGCUGCCAGAAGCCUCACCAAAGUGACAACCCUACCUCAUGGGGACCGAACAUGUGAGGCUUCAAGUUUCGGGAAUGCUUAAGGUAGGUGUAUGAUGCAAUCGUUCUUGGGAUGGUUUUCGCAGGCAACAGUUAACCUAACAGAGACUCGACGGUCCACCUCAGACAUGACAGUUUGAAAUAUUACACUCCACUGUACUAUGUUGCACUGUACUAAGAAGCUAAUUGAACUAAGUCUACAUUAGAAUUGGUAGGCUGCUAGUUAAGUCACCCUUGAAUUGGGCACCCUAAAGAGACUACACAACCAUAUUUUACAACCAUGAAUGGACCAUGAGUUCGGCCACACUGAACACCAGACAAGAGAUUGUAAUGCAGGAAGAAGUUGGGUCAGGGUUGGGUCAGGGUUGUGGAAGGCGGGGAAUAAUGGUGGAAUAGUAGUGGACAGUAAAACGAGUUCAUUCUUUCUUUCUCUCGCUCUCUCUUACUCUCUCUCUAUUUUCAUUCACAGCAGUUUACUUGUGAAUCUGCAAAUCUUUGGGCGAAAGUGUAUACGUGUGCGUUCAGAGUUCCUGCAGUUGAUUGUGCAUGGAUCACUUCUGUGGGGUUAUAGAGAGAGGGAGAGAUGGAGAGAGGGAUAGAGGGCUAUUAGAAUGGCACUUGUAGAGUGCAGAACGAGGGGGAGUGGGGGGUUGUGUUGUAAAUAGCUAUAAGGGCCUGUAGGAUUAAUCAUAAUCUCAUUUUAAUCGCUAAUCCAUGAGAUAAAAAGCACGGCUAAUUUCAUCAUCAUUUGGUUAAUCCCUGGGGUAAACUUUUUUUUUCUCUUUGUCAAAAAAUAUCUCUUCAAUUUCGAUCACUUUCUCAAAUAAAUAUAUAUCUCUCUGGCUUUACGAUAAGCUGCUGCUAAUGUACUCUUGUUUGUUCUGUGGCAGAUUCCACACUGGUUUCAUAACAGUACUGUGGACCGUUGAAAUGAAACCAUUUUGGCUCGCGGUCCCUGAUGUUUUUUCGCCCAGAUCUGUUUCCCUGUGACCAAAAGCCUUUCUCAUUAGUGGAGUGCGACUGGAGAGACUAGAGGAGCCUCCACAGAGUAGCCUGCUGCGCUAAUGCUAAUCAGAGCUGUGGGAUACUAGUGGCCAGGAAACUAUACAGCGGAGCAUCUCCAUGACAGCAAGCAGUGUUUUAACAGGCGAGGGAAAGGGAAAGGGGCCUAGCUAACUUCUUCUGGUGAGAAUGCCACAGGACUGAAAUAGAAUAGGACUUUUCAUUUGAAGUGAGGUUUUAGACCUGUCAGUGUGUACGCAAGAGGACUAAAGUUGGGCUAAUUUGGAUUUAAACUGUGUGCUGCUAUCUUUUUAGCAUGCAGGCCUGUUCCGGGCUAAAUUACCAUGACCACAGUAUCCAUUUUCUGUUACCCAGCAGGCUUUGCUGCAGUGGAAGCCGUAGAAACGGCUACAACCAGAAGUGAACGUCUACUAGAACAUAAGAGUGCUUGAAGAGUUUUCAUGUUUUGGAACCUAUUUGAAGUGCCAGUGAAGUGCAUGGUGUAUGGUUUUUUGAGUUUGAGUGUUUGUUUUUACAUCAUUCAGCUCUAUGAUCCCAAAUGAAUGUGAUUUGUGUGGUUCGUAAAGAAAAGAAAAUGUCAGAAACAAAACUAAAACAAAUACAUAAUUGUCAGCUAAUGUUAGACAGAUUAUAAGCUCCCCUAAAGUGAAUGAAUCAACCAACAUACAGUACAAUCCCAGUCUCCCACACUGUUAAUUUCAAACCAGUCUACUGGUAGUAGUAUUCUUUCUCACAAUGCAGAUUAGAUUCACAAUGUACCCUAAGGAUGUGCCGUGCUAUAGCUCGCAUUGGGACACACACAGACAUACCAUUGCAAUUCCGGCAAAAAGUGCCACAAACAAACCCCAUAUGAUUGUACGUUGAAGGGGAGGGGGCGUAAUAGAAACAAAUCCCCCUGCAUUUCUCAAAUUUUGGCAUUACCUUGCAUCAUCCACCAUGGCAAUAAAAAAAACAUCACUGUGGCGUUAAAACAAAACAAAACAAGAAGAAAGAAGCUCCAACUAAAAAGUGGAUGCAAAACACAAAGAUCAUCUUAAUCUCUUGUUUCACUUCGUCUUUUUGUUGCCGAGACACUGUGUUUGUGUUUGUAGAGAAAGAGCUGCUGCUGCGCCAGUGGUGCCAAUAGGCCUGGUGUGGAGGCGGUCCACUUCCCAGAUACCGGUGUGUUCUGUUCCAGACCCUGCCUGGCUCCAGGGUAGUUCCAUGCUGGACGUUUUUGGUAUUGAUUGUUCGGAGCUCCACCGGCCCACCUGAGGGCAGCUCUGGGAUCGUCUGUGAGAUUCUGGCAUGGCUGAUACAUAAGCGUUACUAUAGAGACAGUAAUGGCAUCUUCUCUGAUAAAGCAACCAUUACAACUGGUGUGAGGAGGCCAGAGUGGGUGUGUAUGCGAGAGGGGAAGGAAGUGGUACAGUAAUAGUGACAGUAUUAGUGAUAGUGGUGUUGGUAUUAAUGCCCUGAUUGCAAGGGUAUGUAGGACUUCAUAGAUCUGGGGCAUACAGGUGAGGAAUCUGGUCCCAUGGUGUAGAAGCUGAUUGUUAAUUAACAUACAGAGACUGAGAGACCUAGGCCUGAUUUGUGGUGAUUGAUUGAACAUGAGAACAAGCUUGUUUUCUCAUUUCAAAGCCAUUACCUCCAGUGGAAUAAGAUAGUCUUUUACAAAACAACAAUUGCAAAAAAUCUUACAGGGAAAAAUUUGGAGCAGAACAAAUAAUUCCGGGAAGCGAUCUGAGUGUGUGUGUGAGAGGCUGCCAUGCAGUGUUUCGUUUUCCAACUCUGUUCAUUAACUAAAUCAUUAUUUGAGUCUUAUCUCAAAGUGGAGCCAUGAGCAAAGAAACUGUUCUGUGUGUCGUUGUAUUUGUGUCUGUAUGAUGUGAGUGUGUGAGAGACAGAUUUUUACAUUUUUUAUUCAGUAUUUUUAUGCAGGUUUUUUUUCUCCUUUGUAUUCUUUUUUUCAGUUUUUGUUGUAUACUUUAUAAAAAAAAAGCACAGAUAACAUUGAAAAAGUCAGUGCAGACAAUGGAUACGAAACAGGCAAGUCUCUCUGGGCUGAUGAGGCCAUGUUGUCCUUUCUACUACCCAGAGAGUUGGGUGUCUUUAGACCCAGGUUCAUGUUCAGUAGCCUAUCAAGUUCCUAGUCUCCCAAAUAGGGUGUGUGGUCACAGCAGACCAGCCUCCCAGGCCCCUCCCCCGCCAUACUGGAGGAGGUAGGGGGUUCCAAGGUGUAUUUCCAGAAUCCACACAAACAAAGCAAAAAUACCAUUUCCAGUUUUAUGUUGUGUUUUGGCCCUGGUUUGGUGCUGAUGCCUCGAAGGUCACGCCAAGGUUUGUUUUUAGUAUCACACAGGAGAAAAACACAGAGUGGAAAACAGAGGUCCUUCUCUUUCAUUUCAGGCCAACAAUACAAAUCCUUUUUCUUUCAGAGUUUCUUGUGAUUUCUUUUUAUGAUUUUUUUUAUCUCCUUAACUGUCAGUGCUAAAUAGCAGGUACUGAGUUACGGGCCGGGGUGUGUUCGUUCGAUGUUCCUCCCUUCCUGCCAUAUGUGCACAUUCUUUCUCGUUUGUACUUAAAAUGUUUUAGUUUUUUUCAUUCAGUGAAUUUUUAAGAAAUUUCAGCUGAAAGAAAACAGACCAUCAUUCUUAAUAAUAAUAGUAAUAAUUAAUUGUCUUUAAAAAACAAAGGCAAGAAAGUGUCGCUGCGCAUUUGUUAGUUGUUGCCUGUGAGGUGGCAGGAGUGAAGCUGAGCGAGAAGAGCAGAGCGCCUCCUACAGGAGAGCCUGAGAGAUCCACAGCAAGGUGCCUGUGGGUCACAGAGCUCACUCUCUGGAAGUGUCAGACCCUACUCCCACAGACAGGCGGCGCCACUGGCGGAUUGCCCACUAGUUCCAUUGGUCUCCCUCGUCUCGCUAUUUUGGCAUUGUUGUUAUUUCACACGGUAUAGCUUGCUGAGGGUUGACAUAUAGCUGCAGUUUGUGAGUUCCUAUACAAGAGACACAAAUUGGGAUGGGGUUGGGAAACAGCACACCAGAAUAAAAUGGCCAAUAGUUAUUGUUGGUUUGUGUGGCCCAUUGUUACUUCUGCAAGUCACUGACGUUUGGCGUGUCAAAGGAAAGCAGUUCAUAAUUCUGGGUGAACCAUUUCCUUUCCCAAGUUGCUCCAUAGUUUAAAUGUACAGAAAAGAAACAUUGGAGUGUAAAUGGGUCGUAACUGGAUUAGCGGAUUGGUUUGGCAGUGUGUGAGUUCCCAACCCUGAUUGGACAAGGCAUGGCUAAUCGGAUGACACGAUGAAAGAGAAUUGGUUGUAGACUGUUGAGUAGAAGUGUGAAUCAUGGAAGUGUGAAUAAAAAAACAAGCUGCUCCUCGACUCUUUCACUCCGUCACUCCAUCACUCCACCCGUCCUCGCCGACCAGCCGUCUGUCUGGAGUCGUGGCGUCCGUCUAUCCAGCGUGUCAUCUCCCAUAGUGCCUUGCUCCUGGUGUCAGGUCUUAGGUGGGUCUCUGAGGGCAGGGGCAGCCUCUGGAUGGUGAGAGCCGAAGCUGCUGUGUAGUUCGUCUUCCAUCCGGCUUACUUAUUCUCUCCUUCUAUCUCUCCUUCUCCCUCUCUUCUUCCUCGCUCUCCUCCUCUCGCUCCCUUAGAUGUGCCUCUUCAUGUGCAGGGCCAAGUGGUCUGACCUGGAGAAACACCUGGAGAGAAGGAAUAAAAGAGAGGUUGUCAAAAUCUACUCAAUAACAGUUGGCAUGUUAAAUGCAUGUCAUGUGCAACCAGAGGACAAAAAACUCUAGACCACCUUUACUCCACAUACAGAGACUCAUACCAAGCUCUCCCUCGC
ensembl:lncRNA